rnacentral:rRNA from 1 species
UGAGGAAUAUUGGGCAAUGCCCGCAAGGGUGACCCAGCAACGCCGCGUGGAGGAUGAAUGUCGUAAGAUUGUAAACUCCUGUUAGAGGGGAAGAAUAGUACCGGUUGGACCGGUAUAUGACUGUACCCUCAGAGAAAGCCCCGGUUAACUACGUGCCAGCAGCCGCGGUAAUACGUAGGUGGCAAGCGUUGUCCGGAUUUACUGGGUGUAAAGGGCGCGCAGGCGGGAUAAAAAGUCAGUGGUGAAAUCCUACAGCUUAACUGUAGAACUGCCUUUGAUACUUUUAUUCUUGAGUUCGGGAGAGAGAGACGGAAUUCCAGGUGUAGUGGUGAAAUACGUAGAUAUCUGGAAGAACACCAGUUGCGAAGGCGGUCUCUUGGUCCGACACUGACGCUGAGGCGCGAAAGCGUGGGGAGCAAAC